rnacentral:pre_miRNA from 1 species
AGGAGGAACAAACACAGUGGCGGGGCCAGCUCUGGAGCCCUGGAGUCAGCUCCUGCUGUAACUCCAGAGCUCUCCACCUGCAGGGCUUGGAGGCUCCGGGGCGGG